AGAUCAUCCGAAAUUUGUGAUUGCUGCGUUUAAUCGAGCAUUUUUUCAAUCUAUGCCACGUGAUAAAUAUUCUAACAAGGAAGUAAUAUGUAAAAAGAAACCUGAACCUGACAAUAAAAUGAGUAUAGAAAAUCCGGAAGUUUGCAGUAUUUCAGAUACUAAAUUGUAAUUUCUAUAUGGAAUUAUAGAAGUGGAUGCCGAAAGUUUGUUUGCAGAAGCUGUAUCUAUUACUUGUAGCAGAUAUCACUCACA